UAGAGGAGAUUUGUAACGAGUGAAAUAUACAUAAACCACCGAAUGUAUUUUCCUGGCAAUAGCACAUGCCUUCUUACCUAGGUGGGAGUCAUUUCCGGAAACAGUGGCUUCUUGAGGCCCCAGAACGAAUUCACGGACUUCGGGAGGCGGAAGAGUGGCGCUUUGGGUCAGAAGGCGGAGGUCAGAGAGCAGAAUCGGCAGGAUAAUGGGUUUGUGGCCCAGGAUCUGAGGCAGAGGUGGCUCUUCGAGGCCCAUUAUCCCGGGUUGCUCUGGGUCUUAGUUGCAGCAGGCAGGCUCCUUGUUUGCAGCUCACGGGCUCCUUAGUUGUGGCAUGCGAACUCUUAGUUGCAGCAUGCGUGUGGGAUCUAGUUCCCUGACCAGGGAUGGAACCCGUGUCCCCUGCAUUGGAAGGCAGAUUCUUAACCACUGUGCCACCAGGGAAGUCCCCGAAUCCUCUUUACAAAAAUAAAAUAAAAUAAAAGUA